GCAGGAGAACCGACCGUGUCCGCGCCGAAACUGCAGAUUUGACGCUUUACAAACUACGAGCCCAUUUCAACAAUGUACACACAAUGAAACAACUCCUGCCAGAAACCGGAAGUUUUAGCUUUGAAAGCCCAUUGUGAGUGACCAAGGAGCAGCAGUAAAAGGAUCUGCUUCCUGAGGAGGGCGUUCUGCUGGACGUGUCAUUUCCUGUUGUUCUGCUGGACGUGUCAUUUCCUGUUGUUCUGCUGUACGUGCUGUUGUGUGUUGAUGCUCUUAGCUUGCUGUUCAUCUGUCUAUUGUGUGUCUAUUGUGAGGAUUUUGGUUUUGAGUUGAUAAGGUGUUGUCAAUCUUAUUUGACACUUUGUAUAUUUUGUAAAGUAUUGUAAAUACUCUUUUCCACACUUGGAGGGGGUGAGUGUGAUUUUCUUUUGCAAAUAUUGUUUUCUCCUGUUUUUAGUUAGGGUAGCAUAUUGUGUUUUUAUUUAGUUCUUCUUGUGUUAGGGAAUCUAGUAUUUUCUGUUAGGAGCUGACUUGCGGUUUGUUUGUUGUUUUGGCCUUUGCUCACUCCUGAAGUUGUGCUUUUACUCUGUGUUUCUGUAAUAAAUGUAUAAUCAGGUCCGCUGCUGGCCAGAUGGGUGUCCUGAGCAGGAUUGUGUUGUUGUGCCCCCUUCCUCAAAUACGAUGAUGGAAAUAAACACCUACUAUAGGGUGAAAAUAGCACUUUAAUCAAAUUAAAAACUAAAUGAAUAAAUUGUAUUAUUACCUAU